rnacentral:misc_RNA from 1 species
CCCCUCAAGUUGGUCCAUAGAUAUCACACAUGCCAAACUUGUAAACUAAAGUAUGAAAAACUUUGCUGCUGAGACCCUUGGUGAACACAUCAGCUAGUUGCUCUUUUGAAGCUAUAUACUUAAUAGUUAACAAGCCAUCUACUACCUUUUCUUUUACGAAGUGUCGAUCAAUUUUUACUUGUUUGGUUCUAUCAUGCUGAACAUGAUUGUGGACAAUAUUAAUAGCAGCUUUAUUAUCAUAAAACAAGGAUGAGCUAUUUGUUUCUGACAACUUUAAUUUUUUCAUCAACUUUUCCAACCAUAUUAGUUCACAAAUUCCCUGUGCCAUGGCUCUAUACUCAGCUUCUGCACUUGAUCUAGCAGUCAUACUUUGUUUUUUGCUUCUCCAAGUAACAAGAUUUUCUCCAACAUAUGUACAAUAUCCCGAGGUUGACC